rnacentral:lncRNA from 1 species
GCUUCAGAUGAGAGGAGGUGAGAGCUUGGGGAUGGCACAGGGAUGUGGUUUGUCUGGUGAGGGUGUGGCAGGGAGGGCAGGCCUGAAGGGACCUCCAGGGAGGUGUGAUCAGAUCUGGGUUCCAGAAAGAUCCUACCUGCUUGGCGACCUUAACUGAGCUGGAGUCUGGAGGCCCCACCCUUGCACCCAGCUGCUUCCACUGCUUGCCUCCCAUCCCCCAGUGCCAGUUCCCCAGGGCAGUGCCCUCCCCAUGCCCUCUUGGUGUACCCUGGUCCCAAAGGAGGCCAAGCUAUGAACUUUUCUUGCAGAGGUCCCAGGUGAGGCUGUUGUUCUGGAGCUGUCCCCAGAGCAGGCUCAGGACGAGGGGACCUAGCCACAGCUUCAACUGAGUGGGGUCCCGGUGUGGCUGCCAGGGCUCCUUGGCACCAACCCAGCCCAGUGGGUUGAUCUCUGAGGACCUCGUCAUACUCGGCCGGGCAGUCUGCCCUGGGAGGUGGGGUCAGGACUCCCCAGCACUUCGGGAUGGAAGGAGGUGAAGCCAGCGCUGCUGGACUAGCCUUAAAGAAGCGGGAGACAUCCUAGCUCCGCCUCAAGAUUUCUCCUCUGCACCCAGCAUUCUGCUCCCCAAAUGUCCCAAAUAUGCAGGGGGUCAAGGAACAUUGCUCAGUGGAAUCAAUGGGGAGCGUGGGCUACUCAAUGCUCGACCAAGUUCCCUCUCUGGCUCUCUGAGAGGGGGGCCUUCUAGCCUCAGUCUUAGGGCAAGAGGGAGCCCGUCCCCUAGGAGCC